rnacentral:rRNA from 1 species
UUCGGAGUGCUGGCGAGUGGCGAACGGGUGCGUAACGCGUGGAUACCUGCCCUGAGGUGGGGGACAACAGCUGGAAACGGCUGCUAAUACCGCAUACUCCCUAAGGGGCAAAGGCCGCAAGGUCGCCUUGGGAGGGGUCCGCGUCGGAUUAGCUUGUUGGUGAGGUAAAGGCUCACCAAGGCGAUGAUCCGUAGCUGGUCUGAGAGGAUGAUCAGCCACACUGGGACUGAGACACGGCCCAGACUCCUACGGGAGGCAGCAGUGAGGAAUAUUGCGCAAUGGGGGCAACCCUGACGCAGCGAUACCGCGUGGGAGAAGAAGGUCUUCGGAUUGUAAAUCCCUUUCAGUGGGGACGAUAGUGACGGUACCCACAGAAGAAGCUCCGGCUAACUCCGUGCCAGCAGCCGCGGUAAUACGGAGGGGGCGAGCGUUGUUCGGAAUUACUGGGCGUAAAGGGCGCGUAGGCGGUUUUGCAAG